GUAGGUGAACCUGCGGAGGGAUCAUUACAGAGAACAUCGCCCGCAAGGGUGACUCUCCAACCCUAUGUUAAUUAUACCUUUGUUGCUUUGGCGAGCCGCUUCGGCCACCGGCCUAGCGCUGGUGAGCGCUCGCCAGAGGACCCUAAACUCUGUUUAUUAGUGUCGUCUGAGUACUAUAUAAUAGUUAAAACUUUCAACAACGGAUCUCUUGGUUCUG
rnacentral:misc_RNA from 1 species